rnacentral:rRNA from 1 species
CUACGGAACUCCUACGGGAGGCAGCAGUGGGGAAUUUUCCGCAAUGGGCGAAAGCCUGACGGAGCAAUACCGCGUGAGGGAAGAAGGCUCUUGGGUUGUAAACCUCUUUUCUUGGGGAAGAAAAAAAUGACGGUACCCAAGGAAUCAGCAUCGGCUAACUCCGUGCCAGCAGCCGCGGUAAUACGGAGGAUGCAAGCGUUAUCCGGAAUGAUUGGGCGUAAAGCGUCCGAAGGUGGCAUUUCAAGUUUGCGGUUAAAGGUUCUGGCUCAACCAGAGACAAGCCGUGAAAACUGAGAAGCUAGAGUAUGGUAGGGGCAGAGGGAAUUCCCAGUGUAGCGGUGAAAUGCGUAGAGAUUGGGAAGAACACCGGUGGCGAAAGCGCUCUGCUAGGCCAAAACUGACACUGAGGGACGAAAGCUAGGGGAGCGAAUGGGAUUAGAAACCCCAGUAGUCCUCUUCGA